rnacentral:rRNA from 1 species
AUUGAACGCUGGCGGAAUGCUUUACACAUGCAAGUCGAACGGCAGCAUAGGUGCUUGCACCUGAUGGCGAGUGGCGAACGGGUGAGUAAUAUAUCGGAACGUGCCCAGUCGUGGGGGAUAACGUAGUGAAAGUUACGCUAAUACCGCAUACGAUCUAAGGAUGAAAGCGGGGGAUCGCAAGACCUCGCUCGAUUGGAGCGGCCGAUAUCAGAUUAGGUAGUUGGUGAGGUAAAGGCUCACCAAGCCAACGAUCUGUAGCUGGUCUGAGAGGACGACCAGCCACACUGGAACUGAGACACGGUCCAGACUCCUACGGGAGGCAGCAGUGGGGAAUUUUGGACAAUGGACGCAAGUCUGAUCCAGCCAUUCCGCGUGCAGGACAAAGGCCUUCGGGUUGUAAACUGCUUUUGUACAGAACGAAAAGGUCUCUAUUAAUACUAGGGGCUCAUGACGGUACUGUGAGAAUAAGCACCGGCUAACUACGUGCCAGCAGCCGCAGUAA